GAUGAACGCUGGCGGCGUGCCUAAUACAUGCAAGUCGAGCGAACAGACGAGGAGCUUGCUCCUCUGACGUUAGCGGCGGACGGGUGAGUAACACGUGGAUAACCUACCUAUAAGACUGGGAUAACUUCGGGAAACCGGAGCUAAUACCGGAUAAUAUAUUGAACCGCAUGGUUCAAUAGUGAAAGACGGUUUUGCUGUCACUUAUAGAUGGAUCCGCGCCGCAUUAGCUAGUUGGUAAGGUAACGGCUUACCAAGGCAACGAUGCGUAGCCGACCUGAGAGGGUGAUCGGCCACACUGGAACUGAGACACGGUCCAGACUCCUACGGGAGGCAGCAGUAGGGAAUCUUCCGCAAUGGGCGAAAGCUUGACGGAGCAACGCCGCGUGAGUGAUGAAGGUCUUCGGAUCGUAAAACUCUGUUAUUGGGGAAGAACAAAUGUGUAAGUAACUAUGCACGUCUUGACGGUACCUAAUCAGAAAGCCACGGCUAACUACGU
rnacentral:rRNA from 1 species